CGACCCCAGGUCAGACGGGACUA
rnacentral:rRNA from 1 species